UAACACAUCUCGAGCAACCGGUUGAAGUUUUGGAAAUCCCUGGCCGCGAUUGCUCCACCAUUCUAGAAGAUCAAUAGUAGUAGGUUCUGUAUUUUGAUUAAUAUAUGCAUCAAAAUCAUUUCUAUCAUUAUGAGAAAGUUCAA